AAACAUUUGGAGUGGAGAUGCUUCUAAAUCUGAACAUCUCAUGUCUUUGUACUUAGAGAGCACUGUGUCUUCUUUGAUAUUUUUAAUCCUCACUAAGCACAACAUUUAAAUAUGGAUUGGAGGAUGGUCUGCAACAUGAAACCGACUGUGCCGAUCCAGGGAACCAUGGCUGGCACUGGCAGAAUUUCAUUAAGCUGAGUCUGGUACCAUUGUUUCCAAAAAGGCUUUCACCAGCUGGCCUUGCUAUGCUUGACUAAAAAUCAGACAAGGGAGGGAGGAUCUGGUCUGAAUAGGAAAUGAUACAAGUGCUGUUUUUUAAAAAAGGUGACAUGUUCAAGACAAGCUUGAAGGAACUAAGCUGGGGAUGCCCUUCAUGGGAGGUGUGGAUACUCAAAAGGAAGGACAAAAUCAGACAGGAAAAGCAAUGCCUGUUAACACACAUUUAUCUUGCUCUUAAACAAAGCGUAUAUCAAAACCGCAUUUAAACCAGCUAUUCAUAUUCAUCUGGGUCCCUUUGGCUAGAAGCCUAAAGGAAACUAGCAUAUGGGCCCAUAAAAAUGAAAAUCUGUAUUACAACUUCAAUCCCCACUGGAGCCUGAUUUUCAUUGCCAUCAGAAUGGCACUGGCAAGAAUUAUAGACUGAUGCCAUCGUACCCAGCCACAUGUAGAUUUUAGAAGUAAAAGGCAACUUUUGAGACCACUUGGUCUAGCCUCUUCAUUUUAAUAUGAAUACUUUCUUCAGGAAGAGAGUUGGAAAACACUGGACAAGACAUACAUCUAAUACCAUCACUAAAAAUGGAAUUUUCUUUACCUUAAGAGAUAGAAAAUGAUCAUUUACCAUUAUGGGAGUCAUUUUUGAAUCAUCUGCCAACUUGUUAGAUCAAUGAUCAAAAUCAAUCCCAAAUUUAAAAAAAGGACUAAGAAGAUACAACAUGGAUUUAUCUCUUCAAAGAAGGUGUUUGUGCUGAAAUGGUAGGAAAUAAAUAAA